AGAGAGGCCAGCAUUUCUUAGGUCUCCAUAUCAUCCAUUGUUCACUGGAUUAACUCAGAGGACAUACCAUGAAGUUUGGGCAGAGUUUAGUUCUUGCUUUGAUGAUUUUGAAUGGUGUUCACUGUGAAGUAUAUCUGGUGCAGUCUGGAGGAGGCUCUAUUCAGCCAGGAGGAUCUCUGAGACUCUAUUGUGAAGGGUCUGGAUUUAUAUUCAGUGACUACUACAUACACUGGCAUCGCCAGGCUCCAGGAAAGAGUCUGGAGUGGGUAGGUUUCAUUCGAGACAAACAUAGAAGUCACACAACAGAAUAUGCUGCAUCCAUGAAGGAGAGAUUCACCAUUUCAAGAGAUGAUUCCAAGAACACUGCCUACCUUCAAAUGAGCCGCCUGAGAGCUGAGGACACAGCGAUGUAUUACUGUGCCAGAGAAAGAGGCACACUGAGGGGAUGGUAG